rnacentral:rRNA from 1 species
AGUGAACGCUGGCGGCAGGCCUAACACAUGCAAGUCGAGCGGAAGCACGGUGAGAGCUUGCUCUUACGGGUGGCGACGGGCGGGCGAGUGAGACGUACAUCGCAAUCUACUUUUUCUUGGGUGAUAACGUGGGGCCACUUACGCUACUACCGCAUACGUCCUACGGGUGAAAUCAGGGGAUCUUCGGACCUUGCGUGACUCUAUGAGCCGAUGUCGGAUUAGCUAGUUGGCGGGGUAAAGGCCCACCAAGGCGACGAUCCGUAGCUGGUCUGAGAGGAUGAUCAGCCACACUGGAACUGAGACACGGUCCAGACUCCUACGGGAGGCAGCAGUGGGGAAUAUUGGACAAUGGGCGCAAGCCUGAUCCAGCCAUACCGCGUGAGUGAAGAAGGCCUUCGGGUUGUAAAGCCCUUUUGUUGGGGAAGAAAAGCAGCAGGUUAAUACCUCGCUGUUCUGACGGUACCCAAAGAAUAAGCACCGGCUAACUUCGUG